AAAGUGGUAUUUAACUCGGUUAUAGGUGAUUUGUUUUGUUUUUGUCAAAAGUGUGUCUUGAUUUUUCUCUCAUAGUAAUCUCAGGUGAUGAUUUUUUCUCGUAGUAAUCUCGAGUGAAAAGCGACAACGUUUCCUAUAGAAUGUGAUAAUGGAGGUGAUCUCUACAGCUGCUAAGAACCCCAUGGAAUCCAGGCUCCUUUCACAUCUGCAGAGCAUCUUGAACAUGUACGACCAAAGUUUCAAGUGAGAACAUGCAUAAAACGAUAAUGACUGUUUUUGUGAGUCAGUCUAGAUGAAAAUAUCAACUGAAAAUUUGUAUUGGAGCAUUCCAUUUUGUGUGUGUAGUGCAGAAUUUUUAUUAUACAUGCGCUGUUGUUAAAUUAUUUGGAUAUAAGUUUGUCAAACCAGCAUUGUUUAAAUGCUUCAUUGUGUGACUAACUAUCUGUGUGGUAGAACUCUCCAUGAAAAGUAGCCACUCAGAUUGUCAGAAAAUGUUCCCCUUUUGUGACACCUGAAUACUCAUUAGCAUGUUCACAAGAGACUACCUCUGGACCCUAUCUUGAGCCACAUGAAUUCAGUCCACAUCCUUAGAUCCUGUCUCUUAAAAUCUUUUUUUAUAUAUUUCUACCAUAAAAACAUCAGGAGCUGUCCGUUUUCUUUGCAUAUUCUGGCCAAUUUUUAUGUGCAUUUUUAAUUUUCCUCAAGCAUCAUCACGGAUACGUUCAGCUGAAACGUUGGUAACAGCCUACAAGACGUACGUAGUGUCACAACCCAGAAGACGCCAUUGGAACCUCAGAUCUCAGCCUGUUUGUUAUAAAGUUACUAUCAUACCACACUGAAUUUAGCGUAAUUCACUGAUGUAACAUUGUCUGCAGUUGUGUUAUAUUUUAUAAUAACUAAUUUAUUACACACAAUUUAAAUACUUUUUUCAGAUGGCUUGGACUGUGAUGAUCCUGAAAUUGCAUCCCUUUGCCUUGAUGGAAUCAGAUGUGCCAUCCGGAUAGCUUGCAUUUUCCACACGACGCUGGAAAGGGAAGCGUGUGUCCAGGCUCUGGCCAGGUUCACAUUGCGUACUGCUAACUCACCUAUCACUGCGAUGAAGGCUAAGAAUAUUGAUACCAUUAAAACUCUCAUCACUGUUGCUCAUACUGAUGGUAAAUAUUUAAAUUUUAUUUUAAAAACAAAAUGAUAAUGUGCUGAUUGAUGCAUUACAAGUGACAUGAUUGGUCGACUGUCUGAUAUUUGGAUCUGUUACUCAUUGAAUGUUGCAACUGAGUGCCUACCACUUCUUUUUGUAUGGGAGGUCCCAGAUUAAAAUCUCAGCCCAGAGAUUGGCUAUUGUAGUUGACA